rnacentral:rRNA from 1 species
CACAGAGUUAGCCGGUGCUUAUUCUGUCGGUAACGUCAAAACAACCAGGUAUUUGCUGAUUGCCCUUCCUCCCAACUUAAAGUGCUUUACAAUCCGAAGACCUUCUUCACACACGCGGCAUGGCUGGAUCAGGCUUUCGCCCAUUGUCCAAUAUUCCCCACUGCUGCCUCCCGUAGGAGUCUGGACCGUGUCUCAGUUCCAGUGUGACUGAUCAUCCUCUCAGACCAGUUACGGAUCGUCGCCUUGGUGAGCCCUUACCCCACCAACUAGCUAAUCCGACCUAGGCUCAUCUGAUAGCGCAAGGCCCGAAGGUCCCCUGCUUUCUCCCGUAGGACGUAUGCGGUAUUAGCGUUCCUUUCGAAACGUUGUCCCCACUACCAGGCAGAUUCCUAGGCAUUACUCACCGUCCGCCGCUGAAUCGGGAAGCAAGCUCCCCUCAACCGCUCGACUUGCAUGUGUUAGGCCUGCCGCCAGCGUUCAAUCUGAGCCAGGAUCAAAACU